rnacentral:tRNA from 1 species
AUUUAAAUAGUUUAAUGAAAAUAUUGAUUUGUGAUAUCAAUGAUAUACUUAGUAUUUUAAAUU